rnacentral:rRNA from 1 species
ACUCCUACGGGAGGCAGCAGUAGGGAAUAUUGGUCAAUGGGCGAAAGCCUGAACCAGCCAUGCCGCGUGUCAGAUGAAGGUCCUCUGGAUUGUAAAUGACUUUUCUACGGGAAGAAUGAGCCGUCUGCGGACGGAAGUUGACGGUACCGUAGGAAUAAGCACCGGCUAACUACGUGCCAGCAGCCGCGGUAAUACGUAGGGGUGCAAGCGUUGUCCGGAUUUACUGGGUUUAAAGGGUACGUAGGCGGUUGUGCCAAGUCUGGGGUGAAAGUUUGCAGCUCAACUGUAAAAUUGCCUUGGAUACUGGUCGGCUAGAGUAGUGGAGCGGUGGCUGGAAUUUAUAGUGUAGCGGUGAAAUGCUUAGAUACUAUGAGGAACACCAAUUGCGAAGGCAGGUCACUGGUCACUAACUGACGCUGAGGUACGAAAGUGUGGGGAUCAAACAGGAUUAGAUACCCUGGUAGGAUACCG